AACGAACGCUGGCGGCAGGCCUAACACAUGCAAGUCGAACGCUCGUAGCAAUACGGGAGUGGCGCACGGGUGAGUAACGCGUGGGCACCUACCCGGUGGUCCGGAAUAACCGCGGGAAACUGCGGCUAAUACCGAAUAAGCCCUUAGGGGGAAAGAUUUAUCGCCAUCGGAUGGGCCCGCGUCGGAUUAGCUAGUUGGUGUGGUAACGGCGCACCAAGGCGACGAUCCGUAGCUGGUCUGAGAGGAUGAUCAGCCACACUGGGACUGAGACACGGCCCAGACUCCUACGGGAGGCAGCAGUGGGGAAUAUUGGACAAUGGGCGCAAGCCUGAUCCAGCCAUGCCGCGUGAGUGAAGAAGGCCUUCGGGUUGUAAAGCUCUUUUGGCGGGGACGAUGAUGACGGUACCCGCAGAAUAAGCCCCGGCUAACUUCGUGCCAGCAGCCGCGGUAAGACGAAGGGGCUAGCGUUGUUCGGAAUUACUGGGCGUAAAGGGCGCGUAGGCGGUUUGUUAAGUCAGGCGUGAAAGCCCUGGGCUCAACCUGGGAUGUGCGCUUGAUACUGGCAGGCUUGAGUGCAGGAGAGGAUGGUGGAAUUCCCAGUGUAGAGGUGAAAUUCGUAGAUAUUGGGAAGAACACCGGUGGCGAAGGCGGCCAUCUGGACUGCAGCUGACGCUGAGGCGCGAAAGCGUGGGGGAGC
rnacentral:rRNA from 1 species